rnacentral:RNase_MRP_RNA from 1 species
GGGGUGAUGGGAAGUGUGACACUCGCAGGCACUCACCGGUCCUUUGAACAAUUGCUAGUCAUGUGUCCUAUGUGGCCGCAAUUCUGUGGGCGAAAGUCCCUGAACCGUGGGCUGAAAGAGUCCCAUCCAUCGAGUGGAUGUACUUGAAAGACUUCAUACAACCUAAACAGGAUCAGGAGGCUUAUUGCCGAGUCCUACGCUAGAUGAUGGUUGAGGUUUUUCGGGGGUCGUUGCUAGCACAGUGACGUUACAGUAUAACAGCACAGGGCUUACUCUCCUCUACACCC